rnacentral:rRNA from 1 species
AUGGGCUCGGGAUCAAGGCUGUACUUGUUAUUGCCAAUGGGUUAUUGCUAUGUAUUUUUACAUGCUGACGGUUCGAAGUUGAUAAUAAUUUCUGCAUGUCUACACAUAGUUUAUUCAUGCCACUGGAAAAAGCACCAAGAAUGUUGUGGGCAGAGAUGUCUUGGAGGGACAUCACAGGUUUGUUCAACAAUGUUUGGCACCCUGUUUGCGUGCAAGAUUACUAGGAGCGACCUCUUCCUUGACUGUUUGACACAGCAAGCAUUGAACAUGGGCGCUCCCAGGGGAUGGAUGACCGUCAGGGGCAUAUCCCUUGUUUGGCCACGGCUUCCCUUUGACACCAGUGAAGUGAACAGCAGACGUGGCACCGCAUCAUUCACUUGCCUACCAUAG